GGAAGAGGCCGGCAGGCCGGAGGGGAGGAGCCGGAAGAGGAAGGGAAGGAGGAGAGGGCGUCCGCAAGGUGGAUUCUUUACCACUGAGCCACUUGGGAAUCCCUGGAAGGUAACUCUAUGCUCACCACUGUACCACCAACAUGCUGACUUUGGGGCAUGGAUCAUCCAUAGGAGGUGCUCAGACUGGAGCCAACAGUGAUGAUCUGUAGCGGGACCCCAGGCCCCUUGCCUCUCCUGAGGGCCUCUUUGUUCAGUCACUAAGUCACAACUCUGCGACACUGUGGACUGCAGCUCACCAGGCUUCCCUCUCCUUCUAAUUAACCCUGUUUAGCAUUUCCACAGCAUUUUCUAGAAAGUCAAUUUCCCUGAUUAAUUCACAUCCUGAAUUCCAAAGGAGGACCAGUCCUGUUUAUCCUCACUCCAUAGUCGCUGCACCUCCAUUGACCUCAGGCUUCUCUGCUGAGAAAUGAGAAGGAUGCCUUCCUCAUAGAGGGCUGUGAGGUUGCAAGAAGGGUGGAGCACAGGGCCUGGCACGUUGUUAGUGCCUGAUGAUGAAGGUGUCUUCUUCCACCUGCAGGGUGAGAACCUGGAGAGGGUUGCGCUCACAGUGGGCUCCAGAGGGGCUUCCCAGCCCUGUGGGGGUCCACCUGCUCAGCCAGAGCUGACCCGGCCCGGCUCUGGCUCAGUCACGAGGCAGGCUCAGGGCUCAGAUGUGAGGGGAGGAGAAGGUAGCUAGGACUGGCAGUCUGAGCUAGAGUAAAGUUUCUGCCCUCUUACUUAUGUACUGCAGUGUUUUUCAACCUGUGGUGUGUGAGCCACCUGUAGGUUUGAGAAUUCAAUUUAGUGGGUUGUGAAAGUCGCUCAGUCGUGUCCGACUCUUCGCGACCCCAUGGACUAUACAGUCCACGGAAUUCUCCAGGCCAGAAUACUGGAGUGGGUAGCUGUUCCCUUCUCCAGGGGAUCUUCC
ensembl:lncRNA